rnacentral:rRNA from 1 species
UACGUAGGAUGCAAGCGUUGUCCGGAAUUAUUGGGCGUAAAGAGCGCGCAGGCGGCCCAUCAAGUCAGAUGUGAAAUAACCAGACUUAACCUGGUGGGGUCAUUUGAAACUGGCGGGCUAGAGUCCAGCAGAGGAUAGCGGAAUUCCCGGUGUAGUGGUGAAAUGCGUAGAUAUCGGGAGGAACACCAGUGGCGAAGGCGGCUAUCUGGGCUGGAACUGACGCUGAGGCGCGAAGGCUAGGGGAGCAAACAGG